GUGUCAGCCGCCGCGGUAAUACAGAGACCUCGAGCGUUAUCCGGAUUUAUUGGGCGUAAAGGGUCCGCAGGCGGCCGUGUAAGUCAUAUGUCAAAUCUCUGGGCUCAACCCAGAAUCGGCGUGUGAUACUGUACGGCUAGAAGCUGGGAGAGGCACAUGGAAUUACUGGUGUAGCGGUAAAAUGCGUUAAUAUCAGUAAGAACACCAAAGGCGAAGGCAGUGUGCUGGAACAGUCUUGACGCUCAGGGACGAAAGCGUGGGGAGCGAAAGGGAUUAGAUACCCCCGUAGUCC
rnacentral:rRNA from 1 species